rnacentral:rRNA from 1 species
UAUAAGACGAGAAGACCCCAUGGAGCUUUAAACCUGACUACACCCCUAUUUAUUAUACCCUUAAAUCAACAGGGCCUUUGUCUGUCGGUUUUAGGUUGGGGUGACCGCGGAGCAUAAAUUAACCUCCAAGAUGAACUGGACUAACCCAUUAUUUAAGAUUUACACCUCAAAGAAUCAGCACACUGACAUAAAAUGAUCCGACAUUCGAUCAACGAACCAAGUUACCCUGGGGAUAACAGCGCAAUCUACUUCAAGAGCCCCUAU